UACGUAGGGGGCAAGCGUUGUCCGGAUUUAUUGGGCGUAAAGAGCGCGUAGGCGGUCCGGUAAGUCGGCUGUGAAAGUCAAGGGCUCAACCCUUGAAAGCCGGCCGAUACUGUCGGACUAGAGUCCGGAAGAGGCGAGUGGAAUUCCGGGUGUAGCGGUGGAAUGCGUAGAGAUCCGGAAGAACACCGGUGGCGAAGGCGGUCUGCUGGGGUCGAACUGACGCUGAGGCGCGACAGCGUGGGGAGCAAACAGG
rnacentral:rRNA from 1 species